ACACUCCCGUCCCACUCCCAAAUCCCAGGCUCCCAACCCAGCCCGACAAGAGACAGCCGCAACCCCUAUUCAAUUCGAGCAAUCGAGCCCUAGAAUCACAGAUUCACAAGCCCCUAAAUCUGAUCAACCAGACAACCAGUAGCUGGAGAGGCGGAGCCUGGAGUUUAUUACCAGAGAGCACCGCAGCCGCUGCCCUAUUCGAUUCUUCACCAUGACGACUGACGAUCCACGGCCCGCUAGCAUCUUUGUUUGGACUUCAGAGAGCCAGCACGACGAGAGGAGAGAGUGAGAGACGGAGACCCUUCGGCCUUCAGUUCUUCUUUAGGCCUUUGUGAGUUCGUCGUGAACCCUUUGAGCUUCGAACCAGCAAGGCUGCAGCCUGCAGAAGCUUUUGCUACACAAACACAGCUACAUAUAACAGAAUACCCUUCGCACACGAGGAGAAGAAGAUGAAAGUUUUGAUGUCACAAAUGAAAGCAUUUCAAUUAAUUCAAGACAUUCAAAUGAUUUUGAAAUUAUUUGAAGGAUGGGUUGAGAUUUUUUUAGUUUGUUGAUAGUUUUAUUUUGAGAGAUUCACACGAUUUGAAAAUAGUUGUAUUUAAAGAAACUCACAUGCUUUAAGAAAUGUUUAGAUUUUAGACUCACUCGAGUCACUCGAUUUGAGUUUCUAUUUUGAGUUAGAUUGGGAUUAA